AUUAAGCCAUGCAUGUUUCCGCAAUCAGGGACGAAUAGCUCAGUAAAACUGCGAUGAUUUAGUCUGGCUGUGUAGAUAACUACGUGAAAAUGUAGCUAAGGGAAGGCAGAAUAAGACGCAGGACUAUCAGUUAGUUGGUAGUGUAAUGGACUACCAAGACAGUGACGGUUGACGGGAAAUUAGGGUUUUGUACCGGAGAGGGAGCCUGAGAGAUUGCUCCCACGUCCAAGGACGGCAGCAGGCGCGAAAAUUGCCCACUCUUUGCAGGAGGCAGUUAUGAGACGUGAAGAUGAGUAUCUUGUAAAGAGGGAUAGGAGAAUUGGAGGGCAAGUUUGGUGCCAGCAGCCGCGGUAAUACCGACUCCAAGAGUGUGUAUGAGAGAUGCUGCAGUUAAAAAGUCCGUAGUCAUAGAAGGGCAAAGAGAGAUGCGAGGUCUCACAGUGCGAUGAUGGAGGAGCCGAUGGGGAACAUAGUAUACCAGGGCGAGAGAUGAAAUGCCAAGACCCCUGGUGGACUGAGCGAGGCGAAGGCGAUGUUCUUGUAGGCAUUCGGUGAUCAAGGACGAAGGCUG
rnacentral:rRNA from 1 species